CCUAUGUGUUUCAGAAUAAAUUCUUAUCCUCUUGGGGGCGAGCUGCGUGUUUAUUAGGUUGCCAGCCGCUUGCGCUAGAGGCUGCAGUUCUCCUAUUCCCUCUGCUCCCCCCUCAGCUGAUGGAUGGUGAUGCAGACAGAGGAUGUGAUUCAUGAAGCAUUCGAAUGUGCAGAUGGCUUCCUCUAAGUGUUUGGAAGGUGAAAGGAUUAUGAGUCUCAAGAUAGCUGCCAGCGCAAACUGGGACUUCACCUUUGUUCACAUCUGAGAGAGAGAGAGAGAGAGAGAGAGUCCACACCAGCAGUGGGAUGACAUAAGAUGCUCUCUCUAGUCAGUCUGAUCAGAUUGGCUUGAGUCACACUGGAUGAUUGGCAUUCUCCGGGGACAUGCUGUGUAAUGAGCUGUGGUUGGCGAUGCUGCAGAUUGCUUGGACCUUUCUGGACUGUUCUCAGAGAUCAGUGGGAACUGACCUGUUGCUCUAGUAGGGGCUUCGCAGAUACACCCCUGACACAUUCUUCCUGCUGCUCACUCUGCCACCUGGGCCCCCACAUAGACAGCUUGCAAGGAACCUGGGGCCUCAGCCUUUGCCAGUGUGAAACUGGAACUUCAGCUAAGAGGACUGCGACAAUACCUACCAUAACCUAUCAUUUAUACCCCACCUGGCUUAAAGUUACACAAUAUGAGCUAUGCCGUCUGGAAGCAGCCACCAUUUGUUCCUCAGUUUCCUAAUCUGCAAAAUGGACAUAGUACUGUCAGCUUGUGGGAUUAUUAGGAGUUAGGUAAUAUUGAUAGACAUCCUCCAACACCUUGUCAGUGCUCAGUAAAUAUUGGCCGCUUGCACUUUAGAUUAAUCACUUGUCUUGAAGAUCUGACAAGUUCUGCAUUUCCAUACUCUCUAUUUGGUUCUCAAAACAGGGUCUCGCUAUUAGGUCUCAUUAUUGAGAACGUCCUGCCUCAGCCUCCAGAGUGGAGGGAUUACAGGUAUGCACCCUUCCCCAGGCUUAGUCUGGACUCUCAUUAGCACCUGACAGAAAGUAGGUGUGGAUCAGUAUAAUGAACCUAGGGGGGUGUGGUCACUCCCUUGAGAAUGGGAGAGGCUGAAUCUCUUCCUCACUCAGUGGAGGGAUUAACUCUCUGUGGCAAGAACGUGGCUGCCAACACCAAUGAUGUUCUUCUCCUAUUCCUCCUCCUCCUCCUCCU
rnacentral:lncRNA from 1 species